UAGGGAAUCUUCGGCAAUGGACGAAAGUCUGACCGAGCAACGCCGCGUGAGUGAAGAAGGUUUUCGGAUCGUAAAACUCUGUUGUUAGAGAAGAACAAGGACGUUAGUAACUGAACGUCCCCUGACGGUAUCUAACCAGAAAGCCACGGCUAACUACGUGCCAGCAGCCGCGGUAAUACGUAGGUGGCAAGCGUUGUCCGGAUUUAUUGGGCGUAAAGCGAGCGCAGGCGGUUUCUUAAGUCUGAUGUGAAAGCCCCCGGCUCAACCGGGGAGGGUCAUUGGAAACUGGGAGGCUUGAGUGCAGAAGAGGAGAGUGGAAUUCCAUGUGUAGCGGUGAAAUGCGUAGAUAUAUGGAGGAACGCCAGUGGCGAAGGCGGCUCUCUGGUCUGUAACUGACGCUGAGGCUCGAAAGCGUGGGGAGCAAACAGG
rnacentral:rRNA from 1 species